GUCGCCUGUGGAGGAAGCCUGCGUCCGAUUAUGCUUGUUGGCGAGGUUAAUGGCUCACCCAAGGCAUUGAUCGGUAGCCGGUACUGUAAGAGGUUUGGCCGGCCACACUGGAACUGAGACACGGUCCAGAUCCCAUACGGGAGGCAGCAGUGGGGAAUCUUGCACAAUGGACGAAAGUCUGAUGCAGCAACGCCGCGUGGGGGAUGGAAGCUUCUCGGAGUGUAAACCCCUUUCGGACCGGAAGAAUGCCCGCAAGGGUUUGACGGUACGGGUAUAAUAAGGCCCCGGGCUAA
rnacentral:rRNA from 1 species